UACGUAGGGUGCAAGCGUUGUCCGGAAUUAUUGGGCGUAAAGAGCUCGUAGGCGGUUUGUCGCGUCUGCUGUGAAAACCCGAGGCUCAACCUGGGGCUUGCAGUGGGUACGGGCAGACUAGAGUGCGGUAGGGGUGACUGGAAUUCCUGGUGUAGCGGUGGAAUGCGCAGAUAUCAGGAGGAACACCGAUGGCGAAGGCAGGUCACUGGGCCGCAACUGACGCUGAGGAGCGACAGCGUGGGGAGCAAACAGG
rnacentral:rRNA from 1 species